ACGGGAAAUGAAGUGUUAAAAGAAUAUCUCUCACUCACUGAAGGCAAAAUUAUUCAAGUUAAACCCUCAUAAGUAACACAUAAUGAGGAAAUGGAUACUAAGAAAUUUCUACACGAACAAAACCUUUAUGAUAAAUAAUGAAGAGUGUUUUCCUGCUGGCAUUUCAGGUUUAGUAAUUUCCUCGACUGCUGACUCUAAGCUGUGCCGGUAACAUUAAAAGUGUCAAGUAUUUAUUUAAUGUGUCUAGAAUUAUGGAAUGAUUGUGUGUGCCGUGAAUUUUUGGUUUGGAAUUCUAGUUUAAUUUAUGUGAUCUAUUUUUCUUCACUGCUAAAAUUUUGCCGUGCUGGAAACAUGAAAAAAAAGUGUCGUGUUAAUUUAAAGUGUUUAGGAUUAUGGGCUGAUUGUGUGUCUUGAAUGUGUCUUACUGCAUAAAAAAGCAAGUCUAGGCUGAUAUGUUUUAGUCCACAAUUUUACACGGACAAGAAAAUAAAAUGUGGUAGUGAGAGAUUCGUAUAAGUAAGGUAGUAUAAUAGUAAGCAGGGGUGUGGGGUCGGAAAUGGAGUCAGAAUCGGAGUCACUGGAGUCGAUCACUUUUGGCCAGAGUUGGAGUUGAUAUUAGUGUUUUUUUUUUUUUUUCUAUUCCAGUUUUAUUUUAUUUCAUAGUCACUGGAGUCAAUUACUUUUGGCAGGAGUUGGAGUCAAUAUUGGAGUCAUUAUUCAUUUUCUAUUCCAACUUUAUUCUAUUUUAUUUAUUUAUUGAUUUUUUUACUGCAAGGGAGACAGCUCAAGGGGCAUUAAAACCAAAUUAGCAACAAAAAACCCCGCCAGGCGCUGCUCCAAUACAUAUAUCUCCAAUUCCAACCUUCUUUUCAAUACGUGUGAUGUGUUGUGGCUGGGUGGUGUGUGGUGUGAUUUUGCUGGGUUAAAAUACCUUACCACCACAGUACUGCAGAAGAGAGGAAGGGGGAGAAGGGUGAAGUCAGAGUUGCAACCUUCGAAUUUCAUAGUCUAGGUUAGGUUAGGUUAGGUUAGGUUAGAGAGUCACGAUCUUAAAAUCUCCUUUGGUCAGAACCUUCACAUUUUGUAGUCUAGGUUAGGUUAGGUUAGGUUAGGUUAGGUUAGAGAGUCACAACCUUAAAAUUUCCUAUUGUUAGAACCUUAAAAUUUCAUAGUCUAGGUUUGGUUAGGUUAGGUUAGGUUAGGUUAGAGAGUCGCAACCUUAUAAUCUAUCGUCAGAAUCGCAGUCGAGUUGAUUUUCUUUACACCUGACUCCACACCCCUGAUAGUGAGUUAACUGCGGCACGAAAACUGGCAUUCAAAAUAUUACUGUGGAUUCGGCAGCUGUGACGGGCAGGAACCUUGAUUAUUUCCAUCACAGCUGGCUUUGAUUUUACUCUUAAUCUCACUGCAACAAAGCUUUACGAUUAUUAUUACCUCCUCUAACAAUGCAUUAUAUAUAGGUCAGAUCAAACUCCACACCCCUGAUAGUAAGUUAACUACGGCACAAAACUGGCCUCUGAUAUAUUACUGUGGACUCGUCAGCCGUGAGGGGCAAGAACUCUGAUUAUUUACAUUACAGUUGGCUUUGGUUUUUGCUGUUAAUCUCACUGCAACAAAGCUUUAUGAUUACUAUUACCUCCUCUAACAAUGCAUUAUUAAUAGGUCAGUUUGCUGAAUGUGAUUUGUAUGUAUUUUUCACUUUAAUAUCAAACUGGAGUCUUUUUUUUCUACCACCUUUUGUUCUGUAUGUGUUUUAUAUGGAUUUUUCACUUUAAUAUCAAACUGGAGUCUUUUUUUUCUACCACCUAAUGUUCUGUAUGUGUUUUAUAUGCAUUUUUCACUUUAAUAUCAAACUGGAGUCUUUUUUCUACCACUGAUUGUAUUGAGUUAGCAAGGUUUGUUUACCCUCCGCACAAUGAACGUUGCCAGACUGUCGUACUCAGCCUCUUGUGUUUGCUGAUUUCUAACCCCAAAGACUAUUACUGCCAUUCUCUUUUUCUAAUAAUUCUUCCCUUUUCCUAUUCUCCUUUUCUAAUUAUUCUUUUUCCUGUUCUCCUUUUCUAAUUAUUUUUCCUGUACUCCAUUACUCGUCCAUCCCAAUAACUUUUUUUUUUUUCACAUCAAAGGAAACAGCUCAAGGGCAAUAAAAAGAGUGCAAAAAAUAAGUCCGCUACUCACCGCUCCCGUAAACGAUAAAAGUAAAGAGUAGCCAAGAGGGUAGUCAAUUUCGGGUGGCUUCAUAUAAAGUCAUCGUUAAAAUGGUUACUCAUUGGUGUUCCCUGGCAAUAGUUAUGGGUCGGAAAACGGCAAAUGCGAUGCUCGGAUUUCGAUAGUCUGGCAACGGUGCUUGUGAUUAGAUUCUUCGUCAAUUUUCUGAAUGUCUUUUGUAUUUAUUUUGUACUUUGAUACUGGAGUUUUUUGUACCUUUUCUCACACUUUCAUACUCUCCUCUCGCACCAUCUUGUGUCGGUCCGUUUUCUGAGUGCAAUUUCUGUCUACUUUUCUGGGCGGAAUCAUCUUCAAACCACCCUUCUCGGUACAUAGUUUUACAGUAACAAUUUUCACAACCAAGUAAUAACUAUGUGUUUUGCCGUGCUCAGAAUUAACGAUCUAGCUAUGUCAUAUUCCGCUGUUCUUUUACGUAAAUUACUGUUCACGUCGCUCACAACUCAACUAAGCAAUAAUAUGUUUCGUCACGCACAACACAAAUAAUGACGUCCUCUGGCAGUCAUGUGUUCCAUCACGCACAACACACACAACACACACGCUUGCAUCCCACUCAGAGCUAUAACUUAAGUCCGUCCAUGCCCUGUGCUUGUCAGCCUCGUAAGAAAGGAGUGUUCUGUUCCCACAAUAAUAGAAUGGCUGUAUGUACAUGGCAGAAAGGUUGUAGGGACUUAACUCAGCUCACAUACCCAUGCUCUGUUCAACUACUGCCUUUGGGAAGAAAUCUUGGCUGUAAGGUCUGUAAAAGGUUGAAAAAUAUAUAGAUAAAGGUGGUAAUAUUGCAAGCUUGUAUAUGUUAGAGGUCAUACAGACUGACCUCCUCUGACAGACCCACAGGAGAGAGGAAAUAAUUUGUCUGUAAUGGAUGUAGAGGCUGCUAAACUAACUGACAUCUUUAUACCAGAACUGUGUAGCUACUGUCUCUUGAAAUAUCUUGGCUGUUAAUGCUAAAAGAAGGUUUGUAAAUGAUGUAGAGGCUGCUAAACUAACCGACAUCUUUAUACCAGAACUGUGUAGCUGCUGUCUCUUAAAAUAUCUUGGGUGUUAAUGCUAAAAGAAGGUUUGUAAAUGAUCUAGAGGCUGCUAAACUAACCGACAUCCUUAUACCAGAACUGUGUAGCUACUGUCUCUUGAAAUAUCUUGGCUGUUAAUGCUAAAAGAAGGCUUGUAAAUGAUCUAGAGGCUGCUAAACUAACCGACAUCUUUAUACCAGAACUGUGUAGCUACUGUCUCUUGAAAUACCUUGACUGUUAAUGCUAAAAGAAGGUUUGUAAAUGAUGUAGAGGCUGCUAAACUUACUGACAUCUUUAUACCAGAACUGUGUAGCUACUGUCUCUUGAAAUACCUUGGCUGUUAAUGCUAAAAGAAGGCUUGUAAAUGAUCUAGAGGCUGCUAAACUCACUGAUAUCCUUAUACUACAUCUGGGUAACUACUGUCUCAAGGAAAUAAUAUGUCCGUUAAUGCUAAAAGAAGGCUUGUAAAUCAUCUAGAGGCUGCUGAACUUACUGACUCACUACUUACUGGAGCUGUGUAAUGUUUGCCUUUCUCAGAGAGUGAAAAUAUCUUAACUGUGUCACAGGGAGAUAGUUUAAGGUGUUAUGGUGAUUAAAAUGAUGACGAUUCUUU